GGCUCGUUGGUCUAGGGGUAUGAUUCUCGCUUUGGGUGCGAGAGGUCCCGGGUUCAAUUUUCUCGGACGAGCCC